UGAUUGUAUGCAAAAUUUCAUUAACACAGAGGGAAAGAAAUUUUCACCUCCUUAGAAGGCAGCAACCAACAAAAGACCCAAAAGACAGGAUGGUAUUGGUCGGUAUACCCCAACUUGCAGUCCGGUAUACUCUCCCAAUGCCCCUUUGGAGCACUUAAACACUCCAAACCAAAAACAUCCUAACUUCUAUUAUUGUUUCAAUAGAUCAUAUUUACAUUUUGUUUCUGAAAAACAAAAUUGAAAACAUACGUAACCUUUCUUUUUCUACCGUUUAAGAUCACUUACAAACUAUCAUUUCCAAUCCCUUCUUCAUCAAUAGUACUCAAACUCAAACGCCUUAAUCUUGAAUUCUCGGAGAUGUGAACUUGUCCAACUACAACUCGAUGAGACAAUCUACCUCCACAGCAUUCCUUAACGAUCAAGCGACCAAGUUCUGAAGUCCCUUUGCUGGUAACCGCCUGUGCCUUCAGCUCCUCGAGUUGCCUUUUAGUCAUGCGCACCUUGAUCCUAAUAGGACUCGACGGUGCAUCAAAGCUCCUCCUUCUCUCGUCCUCUUCUCCGCUCUUCAUCGUCCCAAUAUCGUUGUCCAAUUGUUUCGCCGUCAAGUUUGAUCUCCCAACACAAUUCCCCAUUCCGCUUUCUUUAUACAAGAGCAGUGAAUUCUCUCCCUGUCAUAAAUACGCAAACCGUCGCACGGCACGAGAUAUAUAGGGGGGACGCUGCCCUGGGGGGCCUUCCAAUCAAUGUUUUCAACUGGAAUUUGCUGAAAAAUCUUUUAGCGUAUCA
rnacentral:lncRNA from 1 species